AGAAAUUUAGGUUAUCACACCAUAAACCAAUAGCCUUCAAAGCUGUAAACAUGAGUAAAACCUCAUAAUUUCUG
rnacentral:tRNA from 1 species